UACGUAGGGUGCGAGCGUUAAUCGGAAUUACUGGGCGUAAAGCGUGCGUAGGUGGUUUGUUAAGUCUGAUGUGAAAGCCCUGGGCUCAACCUGGGAAUUGCAUUGGAUACUGGCAGGCUAGAGUGCGGUAGAGGGUAGUGGAAUUCCCGGUGUAGCAGUGAAAUGCGUAGAGAUCGGGAGGAACAUCUGUGGCGAAGGCGACUACCUGGACCAGCACUGACACUGAGGCACGAAAGCGUGGGGAGCAAACAGG
rnacentral:rRNA from 1 species